GACGAGGGUCCAAGCGUUGUUCGGAAUCAUUGGGCGUAAAGCGGGUGUAGGUGGCUUUGUAAGUCAGGAGUGAAAUCCCCGAGCUUAACUUGGGAAGUGCUUUUGAAACUGCAAAGCUUGAGUGUGGGAGAGGAUCGUGGAAUUCCAGGUGUAGUGGUGAAAUACGUAGAUAUCUGGAGGAACACCGGUGGCGAAGGCGGCG
rnacentral:rRNA from 1 species